rnacentral:rRNA from 1 species
AACGAACGCUGGCGGUAGGCUUAACACAUGCAAGUCGAACGCACCCUCCGGGAUGAGUGGCAGUCGGGUGAGUAACGCGGGGGACUGUACCCUUCUCUAUGGGAUAGUACCGGGACACGGGGAUUAAUACCGUAUACGUCCUGCUGGUGCAAGAUUUACCGGGGAAGGAUGAGCACGCGUUGGAUUAGCUAGUUGGGGUGGUAAAGGCCUACGAGGGCGACGCUCCAUAGCUGGUCUAAGAGGAUGGUCAGCCACUUUGGGGGGGGGCCACGGCCCGAACUCCUGCGCGAGGCAGCAGAGCGUAAUAUUGGCAUAUGGGCUCAGUGCUGAUCCAGUCAUGCCGCGUGAGUGAUGAAGGCGCUAGAGAUGAGAAGCAGUUUCAUAGGGGACUAUAAUGACGGUACCCACAGAAGAAGCCCCGGCUAACUUCGUG